GUUGGUGCUGGAUUUGGAGUGGUACCCAAAUGAAACACUAGACAUAACCGUCCUGGCCUGCAGUCUGUCCAGUCAUUUGAUAGUCCAGUCACACCUCGCAGUGCCAGGAGAGGCACACCAGCAGGAGACCAGUCAGACUUCAGAGGAGAGGUGGGGAAAGGAUCACUAUUCCAAUAUAGUGGAGAGUCCAUUGCUGUCAACACAGCACUGCAUUUUAACACUAUCCUCUGGGCUUGUAUACAAAAAAGCAGCUACAACGUCUGAUGUCAGAACUGCAAUUAGCAAGAGAUGCGUUAUUUAAAACCAUGAUCGUGAUGAUUUCGUCUGAGACAACAACAUCUCAGACCGAAACAGCAGCCUACAAGCAGUAAGCAGGUUGAAGACUCGAGUCAAGUAGGGUUGCACAUAUUGGAAGUUAACGGGAAUAUAUGGGAAUUACCAUUUCAAAUGUAGAUGUUUAUACAAUUGGAUAUAUUUACCUUAACAUAAGUAGACAUAAUUGCAAAUGAUUAAUUCCUUCCAAUAGAAAAAAAAAAAAAAAAAAAAUUUAGUUACGAAUUGAACUUUAAUUAAAUGAGUUGACUCUUCAUAUGGGAUGAUUUCACUGAACAACAGAGCAAAUAUUGAAAUAAAGAAAGGGAAUAUUGAAUGAUCCCCAAUGAUCCAUCGCAUCUCUCAAAAACGUUUUCAACAUACAUCUGUUAAAUGAUAGUCUAGGAACUAAAGCUUUGGUUGUCUUCCUCUCAGGCUUCCAUGUCUUCUCCCUGGACCUCCUCAAUGUCCACCUCUUGAACAUCAGACUCUGAGGCCUCAUCUUCACUGUCCCUUUCCAACCUUGAGGAUGGGUCAUUGUCAGGCUCAAAAAGCAUCACAUUUUCCCAAGUGGCCACAAAUUUUUCAACCCUUGUAUUGGUCAGCCUGUUGCGUGCUUUAGUGUGUGUUCCCAAACAAGGACCAGUUGUGCUCUGAGGCGGCUGAUGUUGGUGGGAUUUGGAGGAUGAUGGUGGCAACAGGGGAAACAGCCUCAGAACCACAAAGUCCCUUCCACCAGGUGGCUGAUGAGAUAUGUUGGCACGACUGCCAUAUUGCAUCUCCAUUCUAAAGUGAUAUGGCCAUUUCUCGGAGAGACUCCUUCCCCUCCAGGAGACUGUUAAACAUGAUGACAACACCACCCCAACGGGUGUUGCUGGGCAGCUUCAAUGUGGUGCUCUUAUUCUUCUCACUUUGCUUGGUGAGGUAGAUUGCUGCUAUAACUUGAUGAGCCUUCUCAUACCUAACCAUUUCCUUGGCUCUCCUGUAGAGUGUAUCCAUUGUUUUCAGUGCCAUGAUGUCCUUGAGGAGCAGAUUCAAUGCAUGAGCAGCACAGCCAAUGGGUGUGAUGUGAGGGUUGGACUCCUCCACUUUGGACCAAGCAGCCUUCAUGUUCGCAGCAUUGUCUGUCAUCAGUGCAAAUACCUUCUGUGGUCCAAGGUCAUUGAUGACUGCCUACAGCUCAUCUGUAAUGUAGAUACCGGUUUGUAUGUUGUCCCUUGUGUCUGUGCUCUUGUAGAAUACUGGUUGAGGGGUGGAGAUGAUGUAGUUAAUUAUUCCUUGCCCACGAACAUUCGACCACCCAUCAGAGAUGAUUGCAAUAGAGUCUGCUUUCUCUAUGAUUUGUUUGACCUUCACUUGAACUCUGUUGAACUCUGCAUCUAGCAAAUGAGUAGAUAAAGCAUGUCUGGUUGGAGGGGUGUAUGCUGGGUGAAGAACAUUCAGAAAUCUCUUCCAAUACACAUUGCCUGUGAGCAUCAGAGGUGAACCAGUUGCAUACACAGCUCGAGCAGCAAGACAUUCAUCAGCAUUUCUCUGACUACGUUCCUCCAUUGAGUCAAAAACACUUCUGAUUCCAGGAGGACCAUGAGCUGUUGCUAUCGAUAAGGUGUCUGAUUCCAGGAGGACCAUGAGUUGUUGCUAUCGAUAAGGUGUCUGAUUCCAGGAGGACCAUGAGCUGUUGCUAUCGAUAAGGUGUCUGAUUCCAGGAGGACCAUGAGCUGUUGCUAUCAAUAAGGUGUCUGAUUCCAGGAGGACCAUGAGCUGUUGCUAUCAAUAAGGUGUCUGAUUCCAGGAGGACCAUGAGCUGUUGCUAUCAAUAAGGUGUCUGAUUCCAGGAGGACCAUGAGUUGUUGCUAUCAAUAAGGUGUCUGAUUCCAGGAGGACCAUGAGCUGUUGCUAUCAAUAAGGUGUCUGAUUCCAGGAGGACCAUGAGCUGUUGCUAUCAAUAAGGUGUCUGAUUCCAGGAGGACCAUGAGCUGUUGCUAUCAAUAAGGUGUCUGAUUCCAGGAGGACCAUGAGUUGUUGCUAUCGAUAAGGUGUCUGAUUCCAGGAGGACCAUGAGUUGUUGCUAUCGAUAAGGUGUCUGAUUCCAGGAGGACCAUGAGCUGUUGCUAUCGAUAAGGUGUCUGAUUCCAGGAGGACCAUGAGCUGUUGCUAUCGAUAAGGUGUCUGAUUCCAGGAGGACCAUGAGUUGUUGCUAUCGAUAAGGUGUCUGAUUCCAGGAGGACCAUGAGCUGUUGCUAUCGAUAAGGUGUCUGAUUCCAGGAGGACCAUGAGGUGUUGCUAUCGAUAAGGUGUCUGAUUCCAGGAGGACCAUGAGUUGUUGCUAUCGAUAAGGUGUCUGAUUCCAGGAGGACCAUGAGGUGUUGCUAUCGAUAAGGUGUCUGAUUCCAGGAGGACCAUGAGUUGUUGCUAUCGAUAAGGUGUCUGAUUCCAGGAGGACCAUGAGUUGUUGCUAUCGAUAAGGUGUCUGAUUCCAGGAGGACCAUGAGCUGUUGCUAUCAAUAAGGUGUCUGAUUCCAGGAGGACCAUGAGCUGUUGCUAUCGAUAAGGUGUCUGAUUCCAGGAGGACCAUGAGUUGUUGCUAUCGAUAAGGUGUCUGAUUCCAGGAGGACCAUGAGCUGUUGCUAUCAAUAAGGUGUCUGAUUCAUCAUUUACACCUCAAAUAGAAGUAGAGGGACUUUAGUCAGAGGUUGCUUGUUGUGAGCUCUGAGGGAACUUUAUGCACUUGGCCAGACGAUUCUGUAUCUUUGUUGCAUUCUUCACAUAUGAUUUGGCACAGUAUUUGCAAAUGUACACAGCUUUUUCUUCUACAUUAGCUGCCGUGAAAUGUCUCCACAUCAGAUAGUGCACGUGGCAUUUUCCUGUAAAGAUUAGGGAAAAAUGAGUAAAAAACUAAACAAAUACAAUUACAUGUACAAAUAAAUAGUUAGAUUAAACAACUCCUUUGUAAGAUAAAUGCUUUACAAUUAAAUAUGUAUGGAAACAGGUGAAUUAACACUCCUCAGUUAGCAGGCUCAAUUAAGCUAAAAUCCACAUGGUAGCAAGAAUGAACUAGAAGAAAUUGUUAACAAGUUAGAAAUUAUUUAAACCACACUUUGCUGCAGGCUACUAUUUACUAGUUAACAACAAAUCAUGUAUCAUAUAAAAUAUAUUCCCCCCACCCAGUAUCGUAAUGAAAACUUACCAGAAAGCAUGUAGUCCUUGGCUCAGACAGUAUAGUAGCGUGGGCUCAAUAGCAUCUCAUUAGUGUGCAAGAUCUUGAGAAUCAGCUGUGCAUGUGAUGGAACAAUGCACUGUGCAUGUGAUGGAACAAUGCACUGUGCAUGUGAUGGAACAAUGCACUGUGCAUGUGAUGGAAUAAUGCACUGUGCAUGUGAUGGAAUAAUGCACUGUGCAUGUGAUGGAAUAAUGCACUG